rnacentral:rRNA from 1 species
UGAGGUGGGAUCCCGGCCCUGCGGGUGCCGGGCGCACCACCGGCCCGUCUCGCCCGCGCCGUCGGGGAGGUGGAGCGUGAGCGCGUGCGAUAGGACCCGAAAGAUGGUGAACUAUGCCUGGGCAGGGC